GCUGGUAGCAUUUGAAGUAAGCUAUUAUAUCCCCCAGAACAUUUUCUUUUGACCAGGUACUUCAAAUAUUCUGCAGAUGAUGAAGCCAUGAGUCCUCUCGUUGAUUGCUCUGGUCACUCUCUUCCAAACACAAAUCUUAUCCUGCUUAUUUUCUUUUUAAAGCAAGGAACCUGUAUGGAGGAGAACUACAUUGGUAUGUAUGACAUGACAGGCUGGUCGUGGAGUAGCAGCUGGAACCUGGGUCGCCUGAAGAUGAGAUAAGACCAGCUUCCACUGUGAUGGUAGCAGAAUCAACACCAGUGCUCAAGUCGAAGUGACAUUCCUGGAUCCUUCUCAGAAUCAAGCUCUCUCUGCUCUCUGCCCUUUGCCCACACCUUUACCUGGCCCAUCUUAAUCAACGUUGUAUUAAAAUGAUGUGCAUAGGAAUCUCGCUUUCCCCAAUUAAGUGGACAUCUAUCACUUGUGGUCUAGUGUUUAAUAUCUCUUAUUUUAGUAAAUUUCCCCCGGCAGGCCAUUCUUCCCACUAGUUUUGUGGUCGGGAAGGAUUAGCUCCACCUCCAGAGUCUUCGGCAUGAGCUGAUUAUCCCUCCCCUCUGCAAUUGUUUCAAAGAGGGGCACACAAUCUAAGCUGAGCCAGUAAGCUCUGAGGAGAUAUUUUCUGUAAUUCCUGGAAAGAAAUGCCUUCUGUCCACCACUGGUUUCAAUCAUGUGUGGCUGCUAUAGACAUUUUUUAUCAGGAGGGAGACCAGCUAGAGACUGAGGACAACCCAGGAAGGAGGCAGAGCUAAAUGAUGCAAAGAAAUUAAGUCUGGAUGUUGUUAUUUGAGUCUGUGUAUCAAAAUGAAACUGAAGCCAGUUCAAUCCUUGGACAAUAACCUAGAGUGAUUUAUUCAGGUCUUUCUCUGAAAAACAAAUAAACAAAAAAUGAAUGCUCACCUAA